rnacentral:rRNA from 1 species
CGAGUGCAGGUCUGCCCCCGGGCAGGCCUAACCUCCCACCCGUGAAUACCUGACCAACGUUGCUUCGGCGGUGCGCCCCCCCCGGGGGUAGCCGCCGGAGACCACACCGAACCUCCUGUCUUUAGUGUUGUCUGAGCUUGAUAGCAAACCUAUUAAAACUUUCAACAAUGGAUCUCUUGGUUCCGGCAUCGAUGAAGAACGCAGCGAACUGCGAUAAGUAAUGUGAAUUGCAGAAUUCAGUGAAUCAUCGAGUCUUUGAACGCACAUUGCGCCCCCUGGCAUUCCGGGGGGCAUGCCUGUCCGAGCGUCAUUGCUGCCCUUCAAGCCCGGCUUGUGUGUUGGGUCGUCGUCCCCCCCGGGGGACGGGCCCGAAAGGCAGCGGCGGCACCGCGUCCGGUCCUCGAGCGUAUGGGGCUUUGUCACCCGCUCGAUUAGGGCCGGCCGGGCGCCAGCCGGCGUCUCCAACCUUCUAUUUUACCAGGUUGACCUCGGAUCAGGUAGGGAUACCCGCUGAACUUAAGCAUAUC